rnacentral:tRNA from 1 species
GUUGUAGUAGCUUAACUAAAGCAUUGGUCUUGUAAUCCGAAAAUAGAAGUUUAUAUCUUUUCUUCAACU